UGGCUCAGGAUGAACGCUAGCGGCAGGCUUAACACAUGCAAGUCGAGGGGCAUCGGGAGUAGCAAUACUUGCCGGCGACCGGCGCAAGGGUGCGUAACGCGUGAGCAACAUGCCCGUAUCAGGGGGGAUAAUCCAUGGAAACGUGGUCUAAUACCCCAUAGUAAUUAUGUAAGGCAUCUUAUAUAAUUUAAAGCUUUGGUGGAUACGGAUUGGCUCGCGUGACAUUAGCUAGAUGGUAAGGUAACGGCUUACCAUGGCUACGAUGUCUAGGGGUUCUGAGAGGAAGGCCCCCCACACUGGAACUGAGACACGGUCCAGACUCCUACGGGAGGCAGCAGUGAGGAAUAUUGGACAAUGGAUGGAAAUCUGAUCCAGCCAUGCCGCGUGCAAGGAAGACGGCCCUAUGGGUUGUAAACUGCUUUUGUAUGGGAGCAAUAAGGGCUACGCGUAGUCCGAUGAGAGUACCAUACGAAUAAGCACCGGCUAACUCCGUGCCAGCCGCCGC
rnacentral:rRNA from 1 species